UCAAACAGCUUGAACUAAUAUCUUUGGGCUUAAUCCACAUUUGAUCAUCAUAUAACUGAGCUGAAACACAUGAAUGAUUAAUCUAUUGAUAUCAACUACAGUAGUACAAAAUUAUUUGAGACUAUCUCUUCAGUUUGAACGAAGACUUCAUCACAUGCAGAUUUCAAAACCUAUUGCAAACCCAAAUCAUUUCUAAUUCCUCGUUUUAAUAAACAAAUGUUAACUAUAUUGCAGCCUUAACUUGAUGACCAUAAGUUUACAUAGUCCAGGACAGCCCAAUUAAAUUCAUACAAUGCAAAAAUAAACUACACUAAUUAUCUAGUUAACUAUCCUAGCAUCAUGAUCUAAAUGGAUAUGGCUUCCAGAAACAAGUGAACAAACAUGUCAUUGCAUUUCAACUCCAAAAUUACACCAGGUCAAGUUCAAGAAUGUGUACCUGAAUAUGUGAAAUACAAGCGAAAGAAGAAUGAGUCAAUCAGCAGCGAACAGAGAUCCACUCCAAAAAUACACCAGGUCAAGUUCCAGAAUGUGUACCUGAAUAUGUGAAAUACAAGAGAAAGAAGAAUGAGUCAAUCAGCAACGAGCAGAGAUCAAUGACAACAUCACUAUGGCACUCGAAAACCCCAGAUAAUAGGAGGAAUAGCCCAUAAGUGAAUUCCAACCAGAGAAGAAGUAAUAACAAACAGCCCGGGGAUGAUUAAACCAAAUUGGCUCAAAUAACCAGCUAUGAACCAAGGGAAUAUAACCAAUUGACUUCUAAAAUAUACCCAAAACAGGAGCAAACCAACAAGAAUUGUUAUAAUCAAACUCAAAUAACGCUACAAUUAUCCGGAUGAUUUCAAAAUUUAACUACAAAUCAGAUUGAGCUACCAGCUACCCAAAUCACUUAGAACCUUUCAGAAAAACUGAAAAUAAUACAGGAAACAACUGUGAAACAGUAGGAUAUUUUUUUUUGUGAUUUUCUUUUUUGUUGUUUUUU
rnacentral:lncRNA from 1 species